GACGAACGCUGGCGGCGUGCUUAACACAUGCAAGUCGAACGCUGAAGCUCAGCUUUUGUUGGGUGGAUGAGUGGCGAACGGGUGAGUAACACGUGAGUAACCUGCCCCCUUCUUUGGGAUAACGCCCGGAAACGGGUGCUAAUACUGGAUAUUCACUGGUCUUCGCAUGGGGUUUGGUGGAAAGGGUUUUUCUGGUGGGGGAUGGGCUCGGUGCCUGUCUGCUUGUUGGUGGGGUGAUGGCCUACCAAGGCUUUGACGGGUAGCCGGCCUGAGAGGGUGACCGGUGAGAUAGGGACUGAGAUAAGGCCCAGACUCCUACGGGAGGCAGCAGUUGGGAAUAAUGCACAAUGGGCGUAAGCCUGUUGCAGCGACGCCGCGUGAGGGAUGGAGGCCUUCGGGUUGUGAACCUCUUUCGCUCAUGGUGAAGCCGCAACAAUGGUUGUGGUGAGGGUAGUGGGUAAAGAAGCGCCGGCUAACUACGUG
rnacentral:rRNA from 1 species